rnacentral:rRNA from 1 species
AGGUGAUGACGUUAAUUUAUGAAUAAGCCCCGGCUAAUUACGUGCCAGCAGCCGCGGUAAUACGUAAGGGGCGAGCGUUGUUCGGGAUUAUUGGGCGUAAAGGGUGAGUAGGCGGAUAUGCAAGUCUAUGCGUAAAAUACCACAGCUCAACUGUGGAGCUAUGCUGGAAACUGCAUGACUAGAGUCUGAUAGGGGAAGUUAGAAUUCCUGGUGUAAGGGUGGAAUCUGUUGAUAUCAGGAAGAAUACCAGAGGCGAAGGCGAACUUCUAGGUCAAGACUGACGCUGAGUCACGAAAGCGUAGGGAGCAAACAGGAUUAGAUACCCUGGUAGUCUACGCUGUAAACGAUGCACACUUGGUGUUAAUUGAGAGAUUAGUACCGAAGCUAACGUGUUAAGUGUGCCGCCUGGGGAGUAUGCUCGCAAGAGUGAAACUCAAAGGA